CCUACGGGUGGCAGCAGUGGGGAAUAUUGGACAAUGGGGGGAACCCUGAUCCAGCCAUGCCGCGUGUGUGAAGAAGGCCCUCGGGUUGUAAAGCACUUUCAGUGAGGAAGAACGCCUGGUGGUUAAUACCCAUCAGGAAAGACAUCACUCACAGAAGAAGCACCGGCUAACUCCGUGCCAGCAGCCGCGGUAAUACGGAGGGUGCGAGCGUUAAUCGGAAUUACUGGGCGUAAAGCGCGCGUAGGUGGCUUGAUAAGCCGGUUGUGAAAGCCCCGGGCUCAACCUGGGAACGGCAUCCGGAACUGUCAAGCUAGAGUGCAGGAGAGGAAGGUAGAAUUCCCGGUGUAGCGGUGAAAUGCGUAGAGAUCGGGAGGAAUCCCAGUGGCGAAGGCGGCCUUCUGGACUGACACUGACACUGAGGUGCGAAAGCGUGGGUAGCAAACAGGAUUAGAUACCCCUGUAGUC
rnacentral:rRNA from 1 species